GGCUAUGUCAGUGUCCACCCAUUAAUAUUAUUAAUUGGCUCAGAGAUUUGAGUGACUAGUGAGGCACCCUCCCAUCAUGGGAUGUCAUUGCUCUUUAGCACGAGGCUUACUCGGUGGAAAGGGGGGGGCUUGGGCAUCAUUUUACGUAGUUAGUGAUGUCAGUCUCCUGGUCUGUUCCAAGGUUCUUUUAUGAAUAGAACAUUUCAUUUUGUCGCUGUUCUCCUGGCCUUGGAUUAUACUAUGUUGCAAG